GCUGGGGGGAUAUGACUCAGUUGGUUAGAGUGUGGUUCUGACAACACCAAAGUUGCAGGUUCAAUCCCCGUAUGGGGCAGCU